CUUUACUGUAGCUUGGCAGUGAUUUUCGGGACAUCUUGCGUAGGAUAGGUGGGAGGCUUUGAAGUCGGGAUUCCGGUUUCGACGGAGCCACCCUUGAAAUACCACCCUGGAUGUUCUGGGAAUCUAACCUGCGUCCGUUAUCCGGACGAGGGACACUGCCUGGUGGGCAGUUUGACUGGGGCGGUCGCCUCCUAAAACGUAACGGAGGCGUGCGAAGGUUCCCUCAGGCUGAUUGGAAACCAGCCGUAGAGUGUAAACGCAUAAGGGAGCUUGACUGUAAGACCGACAGGUCGAGCAGGUACGAAAGUAGGUGUUAGUGAUCCGGUGGUCCCGUAUGGAUGGGCCAUCGCUCAACGGAUAAAAGGUA
rnacentral:rRNA from 1 species